rnacentral:rRNA from 1 species
CAGUCGCCGCGGUAAUACGUAGGUGGCAAGCGUUGUCCGGAAUUAUUGGGCGUAAAGGGCUCGCAGGCGGUUUCUUAAGUCUGAUGUGAAAGCCCCCGGCUUAACCGGGGAGGGUCAUUGGAAACUGGGAAACUUGAGUGCAGAAGAGGAGAGUGGAAUUCCACGUGUAGCGGUGAAAUGCGUAGAGAUGUGGAGGAACACCAGUGGCGAAGGCGACUCUCUGGUCUGUAACUGACGCUGAGGAGCGAAAGCGUGGGGAGCGAACAGGAUUAGAUACCCCCGUAGUCCCUGUCUCUUAUAC